GGACUCGUAGUCUAGGGGUUAUGACGUCGCCUUCACACGGCGGAGGUCGCCGGUUCAAAUCCGGCCGGGUCCACCA
rnacentral:tRNA from 1 species